ensembl:snRNA U6 U6 spliceosomal RNA
GUGCUUACUUUGGUAGCACAUACACUAAAAUUGGAAUGACACAGAGAAGAUUAGCAUAGCCCCUGCACAAGGAUGACAUGCAAAUUCGUGAAGCGUUCCACAUUUUU